UACGUAGGUGGCAAGCGUUGUCCGGAUUUACUGGGCGUAAAGAGCGCGCAGGCGGUCGUUCAAGUCGCGUGUGAAAGCCCCCGGCUCAACUGGGGAGGGUCACGCGAUACUGAUCGACUCGAAGGCAGGAGAGGGAAGUGGAAUUCCCGGUGUAGUGGUGAAAUGCGUAGAUAUUGGGAGGAACACCAGUGGCGAAGGCGGCUCACUGGACCGGUACUGACGCUGAAGCGCGAAAGCGUGGGGAGCAAACGGG
rnacentral:rRNA from 1 species